rnacentral:rRNA from 1 species
AACGAACGCUGGCGGCAUGCCUAACACAUGCAAGUCGAACGAGGGCUUCGGCCCUAGUGGCGCACGGGUGAGUAACGCGUGGGAACCUGCCCUGUGGUACGGAACAACUCCGGGAAACUGGAGCUAAUACCGUAUGCGUCCUGCGGGACAAAGAUUUAUCGCCAUGGGAUGGGCCCGCGUAGGAUUAGCUUGUUGGUGGGGUAACGGCCUACCAAGGCAACGAUCCUUAGCUGGUCUGAGAGGAUGAUCAGCCACACUGGGACUGAGACACGGCCCAGACUCCUACGGGAGGCAGCAGUGGGGAAUAUUGGACAAUGGGCGCAAGCCUGAUCCAGCAAUGCCGCGUGAGUGAUGAAGGCCUUCGGGUUGUAAAGCUCUUUCGCACGCGACGAUGAUGACGGUAGCGUGAGAAGAAGCCCCGGCUAACUUCGUGCCAGCAGCCGCCGCAGUAA